UAUAAUAAUACAAUAAUCGUAAUUUUUAUAUUAUUUUAGUAAUAUACUAAUAUUCGUAUAGCUUAUUAUUAUGAAAAAAAUAUUAAGUUAUUCAAGUUAAAAAAAAAUUAUUCGUUUAUGAAAUAUCACAUAGACUUAAAAUUUGUAAAAUUUAUUACAUGAAAGUUAAAAAGAGUAUGAAUAGAGUAUUAUUUGAUACAUUCGCAUAUAUCUUUUUAAAUUUUCCUUUUCUAAUCAUCAUUGAAAAGAAAUAGCAUCUCCAUUGCAAGGUUGUCGUUAUUAGUUAGCCGUUGUUAAUUAUGAUCACGAUAAUGGAGAAUACAUGCGAGAGGAUAAUGCACGAGCAUAAUCGAGCAUUGCCUCGACCGAAAGCGCGACCGCGCGCAAGAACUGUUGAUUUUCGCACGCGCUACUUAAACCGCUUAAAUCUACAGCGCGAUCAAGCCGGACGUCAAGAGUAUACACAUCGCGAAUACACAUCCAGUGCAAGACAAGCAAUCAGAGCUUAUGUACGGUACUCGGGCGGAAAUCGGGUCAAGAGAGAGGUGAAUGGACCAAAAGAUUCUGUGUCAAAGAUCCGCCUCAACUGAUAAGAAUCGGGCGACAAUUAAAUCAUUCGAUUGAUCUGCUAUCUCAAUUCUUUCUGUCUGUACAUUUUGCUACAUGCAUGGCACGAUGCAUGCUGGCUCAAAUAGUGAUUUUAUACAACGAAAAAUAAUAGGAUAAUAAAUAACGUACGAUAUUUGUUAAAGAUUUAUUUACUUUAUUCGAAAUGUUUGUUAAUUUAUUAAUAUGUUAGAAUAAAGAAUAUCAAAUUUUAAUAGAUAAUUAAUGAACUCAUGAAUAAAGUCUAACCUAUAACAAUAUCUAUAACAUGUUAUCCAAUAAAUUAUACUUGUUAAUCCACUAAUAUUAAUUAUUAUUGUUCAAAAAGGAUCUUAAAUGAAUUGUUUCAUAUAAGUGGAUUACUAUAAUAAAUAUCGAAAUCAUAAUUUUUUUUUUCUAAUUAGAAUCAUUAUUUGAUUCAUUGAUUAAUAAGACGGAAUUUCAUUUUAUUGACCAAUUAAUUUUUAUAAAUGGUUUUUAUAAAUUAUCAUUUUUAUAAAUAAAGAUGCACGCAGUAUUCGCUUUAAUAUCGAUUCAUUUAACAUUUUAACCUUUCUCAAUUUACUAUUAGCUGCAGCGAAUUACGAUUUUUCAGUCAUGUAAUGUAAUAUAAUAUAAUUAUGAGUACGACUGUGUUAAGGAGCUCGACAAGAUUCCUCGCGCAUGCGCAUACUUAAGCAUGCGUGAAUAAAGCUUCCUUGGAUCGAAAGUAGUUCCUCGAUGCGUCUGGUGGUCAUCGUUCGAGUUAUUUCUUCGAUGAGUGUUAUUAUGUCAUCGUGGUGUUAGGAAUUUAAGAUUACAUAGUUAAAAUAUAUAUAAAAUAUAUAAAAAACGGUAAUUUAAGCAACGUAAAUCGAAAUCGAUCAUCAUCACGAAGACCUUGGCGCUUUUCAUUUCACGCUAAUUAUACGAAACUCUCUCGUCCGUAUGCCAAACAUGAGAUUAAACUUUUCUUCAAGGGCAAAUAUUCAACGUGGCAUUUUCUUCGCUCGUUGAGAAAGGUCACAUCGAGUGACUCUAGAUUUUAGUGUAAAAUAAACAAUAAAAUAAUAGAAUAAAUAAAACAAGAAAGAUCUCUAAAGAUAGUGAUCUAAUAAAAUUAUUUAAUACAAUAAGCAAAAGAUUAAAAUAAAUUUAUUUGUUAAACUAUCUUGAAUUUUUACAUUAGCAAAAAUUAGAAUAAAAUAGUAGUUUUGCAGUCUCUAGAAAUAGCAUUCAAACGUAAAAUUUUAAACUUUGUGUUUCCUCGCAGAGAUAAUUAUGAAUAAUUUUUCUUUUCCAUCACAAUUUCUUUUCUAUCUAUUCGAAAGUAUUACCAAUCACUAAAAGGAAAGAUAAGAGAAAAACUGGUCCGUAUAUCUAUUAAAAAACGAAGAAAGUUUCUUAUUAGUAAUUAGAUGGUGCAGCCGAGCAACUGAAAACGGUAUUGUGCGUUCCGACAACACGCUGCCGGAAUUAGUGACCACAGGACAAUCUUUUCCGGCUAACGUGUUACAUGUUCGAACAGGACGAGCAAGAAAAGGAGAGUUUUUGCAUUUUUCUUCAAAUAAUACUUAUUAGUUAUAAAUGUACAGAUAGAGAACAAAAAUUAUUUAACAUUGUUACAUAUUUAAAUUUUAAUUAUUGUAUAUUCUUAUAAAUAAAUUAAAUAAAUUAAAUUAAAUUUUGAAGAAAUUGCAGAUGCAUAAAAAUAAAAAACAAUAUAAUUAA